UGACGAUACGGUCCGAUAGGUAGCAGAUACUAUAAAUAUUAUGCUUUACUUUUCAUGUGUAACGCAUUUCGAGAAAUUCUCUGAAAAGAAGCAUCUGUGUGUCCGUGGGUGUCUGCAGAGUCUCCUUGCUUUUUGAGAAAUAACUCGAAAAGGGUGAAGUAUGUACAUAUGCACAUAUACAGGGUGUCCCAUAAAGCGUCGACGGUUAGUUUAGAAACCCACUCCCAGAUAUCCAACCUGAUUGUUUACUUCUGUGGAGUGGACUGGCUGCGAUCCACCAAUAGCGCGCCCACAAGGAGGCCAAGGCAUAACAGCUGGCUGGUGAAUACCAUGACCACGAGAUCUCUAUGAACUCCGACAAUGAGGAGCUGCACCACUGGAACCCACUUGGCUUCUCCGGUCUAGCGGAGCUACGCCCAUAUCCAUUAUCUAGCAAGACGGCCGUGGACACGAUCUGGCUAAGGCGUCUUUAAGACACCUCACUCUGACUCAAAUGCUCUGGCCAUGAACACCCGCUGACGGGAGGAUCCUAUAACAACUCCGGCGGUUUAUCAGAUACCUUUACCGCCGCCCAACUCCCAGUGUGCUGGAAAUGGCCAAGAGGAUUGGACAGCACGGCACCACCGCCAAUAGCAACAGUGAGAACGGUGACUUCUGACCUUGGAAACGCCCAGCAACGAACUACACCGACUACCCAAGGUGCGGGGGUUUACCAACUUGGGCAACACAACAGAAACGAUUUAUAAAUUUAAAAAUAAGGCUUAAAUCGGGAAAUA